GGUAAUACGGAGGGUGCAAGCGUUAUCCGGAAUCAUUGGGUUUAAAGGGUCCGCAGGCGGUCAAUUAAGUCAGAGGUGAAAUCCCAUAGCUUAACUAUGGAACUGCCUUUGAUACUGGUUGACUUGAGUUAUACGGAAGUAGAUAGAAUGUGUAGUGUAGCGGUGAAAUGCAUAGAUAUUACACAGAAUACCGAUUGCGAAGGCAGUCUACUACGUAUAUACUGACGCUCAUGGACGAAAGCGUGGGGAGCGAACGGGAUUAGAUACCCCGGUAGUCCACGCCGUAAACGAUGGACACUAGUUGUUGGGAUUUAUCUCAGUGACUAAGCGAAAGUGAUAAGUGUCCCACCUGGGGAGUACGGUCGCAAGAUUGAAACUCAAAGG
rnacentral:rRNA from 1 species